UUCCGUAGGUGAACCUGCGGUAGGAUCAUUG
rnacentral:rRNA from 3 species